rfam:Triticum aestivum genome assembly, contig: Triticum_aestivum_CS42_TGACv1_scaffold_424407_5BS
UAUAUACUCCCUCCGUCCCAAAAUUCUUGUCUUAAAUUCGUCUAAAUACGGAUGUAUCUAAUACUAAAACAUGACUUGAUACAUGACUUGAUACAUCCAUAUUUAGACGAAUUUAAGACAAUAAUUUUGGGACGAUGGAGUAUAAA